rnacentral:misc_RNA from 1 species
AGGACCAAAUCAUUAAUUUCUCCAUAAUAUAGGGACUAAAUAGUAAUUUUUCCCUAACUAUAUAACAGUAAUCUGGAGGGCUUUCCUCAGGUGGAACAGUGACUACUAACUAUGGGAUAAAUUACUCUCUAGUCCCUUGACUAUGUUAAAAUUAAUGAUUUGGCCACCAUAUUUUCAAAAAUACAUGAAUUAGUCUCACAUUUGAUUCCAUUAACUAUUUGGUCCCUCCGUCCAUUUUUGUCAAUUUAACCGUUAAUUAAGAGUCUAAAAGGUGGUCAAAUGAGGGAAUAAUGGUAAGAACUUAGGAAGGAAAAGGUUUAUCAUUAAUGGCAAAAAUUGAGAAAAAUAGACAGAGAGAUAAAAGCGUAUGAUGGAAUCAAAACUUAGGGAUAAACUAAUGGCUUUUCAAUGCACG